UCAUAUGAUGAACGAUUAAAACAUGAGCAAAUUGUUUUGUGCAACGCAAUCAAAAUUAACAAGCCAUCAAUUUUUGACGGACCAUCAUAUGAUGGCCGAUUAAUUUGACUGUGCAACCGGGCAUUAUUAAUCGACCAUCAUGUGAUGGUCCGUCAAAAUUUGAUGGCUUGUUAAUUUUGAUUGCGUUGCACAAAACAAUUUGCACAUGUUUUAAUCGUUCAUCAUAUGAUGCUCCGUUAAUCGUCCAUUAGCAAAUAACUAAUUUGGCAACAAGGUCAUGAUGUGUCACAGUUUUUCAAUUUGACAUUUGUCACUAGCGAAUUGUUCUACUUUGGUUGUUUUCCUCGUUAUUCUGUUGUGCUGUGUUGUGGUUGUGUGUAAAGGAUGGCGUCCUCGUGUUCUUCAUCUUCGAAGAGAGUGAACUACACCCACAAUGAAAAAAAUAUUUUUCUUUCGGUGGUAGCAAAGUAAGUUUUUAUUAAAUUUGUUUUAGGGGAACGAUUUAUAAGAAUACGAUAAAAGAUUUCAACACUUUAGUAUUACAAGUAAUUUUAUUCACUUCGUAACUUCCUUUUUUUCUAUUUCCCACUUUCAACUCCUUUAAUGUUCAAUGUUUUCCCAAUUUCAGUUUCUUAAUCCUUGUGAAUGCCUUAUCCUCUAAAUUCUAGAUAUAAUCAUGUUAUCGAAGACAAAAGCACCAAGGCAUGAAAUCUGAAGCGUGGGAGGAAAUCGCUGAAAAAUUUAAUUGUUUGGCUAAAUCUGGGGCUAGAACGGCCAAGCAAUUAAAAAUUUUUUAUAAGAAUCUUGAGCGAGACACGCGCAAAAGAGUGGCACAGGAGCAUCAAGAAGAAUAUGAAGCCCGAAUAAGGAAAGACGAGGCGAAGAAGGCCGCUGCUCACGACAAGAGAGAAAUAAUGAAAACGGGAGGAGGCAUUUCCAACUUGGAAAUGACCUCUGAACAAGAGGUACUACUGGCCACUCUACGUGAGCAAGUGGAGCCGCUGGUGAAUCCGUACGACAGUGCGGCGGAUUAUUUUAAUGAUUCUCGAGAUGAUUUCAAAAAUUUUGAAAUGCCAGUCUCCGAACUUAUUACCCCUGAACCUUCCACCCACCCUUCCGAACUUGAAUGCCCUGGACCCUCUGCUCUACCCCCUGAAGCUAUCUCCGUUUCUCCCAAAUCAGUUCCCCCCCGACCAACACGUAGUAAAAAAACUAAAUCAAAAAAAAUUAAUUAUAAGGAUCUAUAUUAUAAAGAAAAAAUUUUAACAGAAAAAAAGAAGCAAAUAUUGUUAAAUUUAGAAAUAAGAAAAAUUAAAUUAGAAAUUAAAAAAAUGCAAGACUGAAAUUUGUUUUUUUAUCUAGCGAAAAUAGUAUCUAUGAGGGAAUUUCGAACUG